UACGAAGGGUGCAAGCGUCGUUCGGAUUUAUUGGGCGUAAAGCGCGCGCAGGCGGACGAGCAAGUCAGAUGUGAAAUCUCGGGGCUCAACCCCGAAAGUGCACCUGAAACUAUUCGUCUAGAGUAUUGGAGAGGGUAGGGGAAUUUCUCAUGUAGGGGUAAAAUCCGUAGAGAUGAGAAGGAACACCAGAGGCGAAGGCGCCUACCUGGCCAAUUACUGACGCUGAGGCGCGAAAGCGUGGGGAGCAAACAGG
rnacentral:rRNA from 1 species